UCUCGGUAGCCAAGUUGGUUUAAGGGCAAGACUGUAAUUCACCACUACGAAAUCUUGAGAUCGGGCGUUCGACUCGCCCCCGGGAGA
rnacentral:tRNA from 1 species